AAAAUUAACAAAAGAAAAUAGGCUAUUAAAAAUAUUUUAUUGAAUUCAAUUUAAGAUCUCCUUCCUUCCUAGUAGACUCCACCAUUAUCAAUGAUCUUUGGUGGUUGAUUUAUGAACAAUUUGCCUUAACAUUACUAGGAAAUUAAAUGCUUUGGAAACAGAAAGUAUGUCAACAAAAGUGACUGUUAAUAUGGUAAGCAACACUACAAUCAGCCACCAGACUAAGAGUAUUUUGACAAUUUGGUACAACACAACUUUGAUGAAAAUUGAAAUCACUUCUUGGUAAAGAAGGGUCAAACAUGUUGGGCUUGCUUUAGUCUUGGUUAAAGAGAAGAUUAGAAAGCUUUCUGCUAUGGAAAGAAAGAAUGGCUAUAGGCGUUCUGGAUGAUGCACUGGCUAGAUGCUAUAGGGAUUGCACUAUUUUAUGUCCACAACUUGCAAACAAGUGCACUCGAUUAAAAAUAGUAAAAGCAUCUAUCUUUCUUAUUAAGUCAUAAGCAAGCACAACUGCACAAGAACGCAUUUGCUAAGAGUGUCUCAAUUCCGAAUGAGAAUGAUAUCAAGCAUGAGUUUUUAUUGCUGCAAAGGACAUAUUCCACGCCACUGUUUCUUCCAGAUCAGAAAAGUGUGUAAUCCCACUUCAGUGGAUAUCAAUCUUUUUGACUCUAAUUUAUUUAAAACUACUUUUUAACCAUCACUUUUUUAAGAUAUUGCUUUAAAUCGUUGGUCACUAUGAGAGUUUAAAAGAGUGGAAAUCAGGGUUAGGAUUGAAUAUUGACCAAAAUAUCCAGCAUUUAUAAAAUAUUCAGGUAUAUGUCCAAGGAAAAAUAAAUGAAGACUUAGACAUAGGAACACCAUGAAACUGCUUAAAAAGGAAAGCUUAUUGAAAAAUGCAGGAAAACUUCUGAAUCAGAUAUUUAUAUAUUUCAAUUUUAAUAAAUUUUACAGGCUCAAACGUGUUUUAAGUAACAUCAAAAAGCCAAAGUGUAUCAGAAGGCCAUCUUGAAAACAGUACGAUCAUCAUCAGUUUUUCAGUUCAGAAUCUAGUUUCAAGAUUCAUGAAAUUUUGUCCUGCUCCCCAAAUUCAAAAAAAUCCACCUACAAUUAUGAAUUAUCUGUGCUCGUCAGAAAAAUCAUACCAGCAGUCCUCUAACUAUAAUCCCUCUUUAAGCAACAGAAACAACAACAGCAAAUACUGGCUCAUUUCAGACUGAAUUAUUACAGAUCUUACUGUUAAGGUAGCUAUGAUGUAGGCUAGAGUGCAGCUUCUAAUUUCUUUGAACACUAAAUUAAUUUAAGCCAUCCAAGUUAGAGAACUAUCGAAUCAGGACAUAAUGAUGAUAUGAAAUGAUUACCGAGUGUGAGGGCAACUUCAUGCUGGAAUUUCUUGAUUACUUCACAAAUGAGCAUGCUGAAGGAAGAAGAAAAGAAAGUUUAUGCAAUUACUAUUUCUCCAUGAAUGGAAAAUAUGACUAAAAUUACAUAAUAGAACCCCAUAAUGCUACAAGCUGUUUAUCUCUUAACAGAGGGAUCCCUAAACUUUGACUACUGUAAUAAGCACCUGCAAAUUGCAUACUCUCAAUACCAACCAAAGAAUACAUUAAACCUAAGCGAUUAAAAUCAAUCUUCCAAAACAGCACAUUACUUCGUUAGCAAUUGGACUCUUCUCGUGCUUCCUACAAUAAAAACUUUUUCGUCAAUGGCUUCAAGCCAAAGCUGUGAAGAACAAGUCCUUUUCAAUCACCUUUAGUUGAAAUGCAAGCACUAGCAUCGACUUAAAAUCAAGUUCAUAAAAUUUUCCACCUGGAGAAUUCUUUGACUUUGUCUACAAACAGAUGAUCUACUUUGAUAAAAAAAAAUCUUCAACAUCAUUGACGCUCCUAUCUACUUACAACUAUCAACCGAAUGAUGAAGAGCUAGCCUCAGAGAAAUGUAGAGGUAAAUAAUCGGAAACAAAAACAACUUGCCUACAAUAGCCAGGAUAGCUUCAAUCUUGGAUCAGAAUUACCCAAAAUCAAAACCAAGAAACUAUAUUCUAAACCUCUCAAGUUUUGAACCGUUUAAACUCAAACGAAAUUUCAUAGUGAUUAAAAAGCAAACUAUCAUGCCUAUAACUCCCUAAAUACUCAAGCCCCAAACUCGUCAGCCUCUUAAUACAUUCCUUACCUCGCAGUCUUAAACAGAACUUAAUAUUAUGUGACACAAAAGAUUCGGCCAUCAUAAGGUUUCAACUUACUCACCUUUCUAGUCCAUCCCAGAAAAGCUUAUCAAGCAUGUGAAGAAACACAGCACUAGCAUACAUUAAAUCAUACCAACUCCUGAACCAAACUUGAAGAACUCCAUAUCUUCUCCUCGCACAAUCAGCGGUUGCCUGCUUAGACAACCCUGAGAAGGAAGCUCAUAUCUUAAUGCAGCCAUUGGAGAGAGCUCAUCCCUUUCAAGACGAUGGUAGUGUUCAAGACUAAGGUACUGAAUAAAAUGCAAUCCAAUACGUAGGUUUUAAUUUGUAAUAGAAUUCAUAUGCACAGAAUAAAAUAAAAAUGCACAAGUUUUCAAGAAGAAUCUCACAUAAGCAGAACACAAACCAUUAACUUCAAUGAAUUUUAGGUCCACAAGCCACUGAUUCAAUCACACAAAAAUUGAGAGAAAUGAGAAAGCUAAUCCUUAAAAAAACAAAAUUCUAUGCACUUGUAGAAAACUGAACAGAAAGAUUAGCUCAACUCAAACUAUAUGCGCAUUCUUCUAAAGUUGAGGGAGAUUGGCAUGUGCGUUACUCUAAAACCACAUCUUUUUUGACACCCGGACAAGACCUAAUCAACCAAAACACAAGACACAGAGAUAUACAUUUACACCGAAGACAGAGAAAGAGCUCUU
rnacentral:misc_RNA from 1 species